rnacentral:lncRNA from 1 species
GAGGGGAAGGCGGAAAGGAAGGAGUCCAGGGGGGCAGAUGGGUGAGAGAGACUGACGAGGAGCAGAAACCAGAGAAGGGACAGAGCACAGAGGGCAGAAGCACAGAAGCACGGCAAAGAGCAAAACUUCACUCCAUUUUUCUUGGUUUUAUCCUCUCAAACCCAUGUUCUACUUUUGGUUUAAUUUGAUAAUAAUGUGUAACUAAAUUUAUUUUAGCUAGAGGUUAAUUCAAAGCCAUGAAUAUAUUUGUAAUAUGAAUUGAUUACCUUCAAUUGUGAUUUUUGAGUUGUGAUUUAAUUUGCUUAACUGCUUGAUUGAUAACUUAUUUUUGUAUGUCGAUUAAGAAUGCAUACUUAAUUUAGCGAAGACUUUGGUACAACAGAAAGUGUCAGG